CCUACGGGAGGCAGCAGUGGGGAAUAUUGGGCAAUGGGCGCAAGCCUGACCCAGCAACGCCGCGUGAAGGAAGAAGGCUUUCGGGUUGUAAACUUCUUUUCUCAGGGACGAAGAAAGUGACGGUACCUGAGGAAUAAGCCACGACUAACUACGUGCCAGCAGCCGCGGUAAUACGUAGGUGGCAAGCGUUAUCCGGAUUUAUUGGGUGUAAAGGGCGUGUAGGCGGGAGCGCAAGUCAGAUGUGAAAACUCAGGGCUCAACCCUGAGCCUGCAUUUGAAACUGUGUUUCUUGAGUGCUGGGGAGGCAAUCGGAAUUCCGUGUGUAGCGGUGAAAUGCGUAGAUAUACGGAGGAACACCAGUGGCGAAGGCGGAUUGCUGGACAGUAACUGACGCUGAGGCGCGAAAGCGUGGGGAGCAAACAGGAUUAGAUACCCCAGUAGUC
rnacentral:rRNA from 1 species